GGACCAUGGGGACAAUUGGACCUGACAGCUAUCUCAGCCGUGUUGCUCAAUGAUGUGCAACUUUGUCACAGAUACUUGUUGAAAAAAGCAGUACUGGUCGUCCUACAGUCACUCCCAUCACAUCUGAUGAUGAUGACGCUGCGGAAGCAGGUCCAUCCAAAGAAGUCUUAAGCAGCAGAAGGCGCACUUCUGGAACACAUCACAAAAAACAUCUGCCAGCAAAGAAAGCAAGGUCUGAUAUCCAGGGCCAACCACAGCAGGCUACCCCGCCACGAAGAUUAUCUACUGUUUGUUCGGUGCCCCCACUCCAAAUUUUGGACACACCUCCAAGACGACAACCACACUCCCCUGAUCUUGAUUCUUCUAGUCCUGGUACCAGCAUCCCUCUGCAACAACAGCAACACAGUGACAUGGAUGACACAAUCAUGUUAGAAAUGCAUCCAGUAAGCGAAGGAUCAGCCCCCCAGCACCUGUGAGUACUCCCCCACAGCAAAGCACACCACCAACCCAACACAGCCCAACAACACCAGUAACACAAGUACCAGAUCAAGUGUUCUGGACCAUUUGGGCUAGACAGCAGGCCACUAAUGAAGAUUGCCUGCGUAGGCAGACCCAAAUGUUUGCAAGCCUACCAUCUCACCUCAGACGAAUCAGCAGAAAUCUGAGUAGACAAAAUGAAACAAACACAAGAAUUGCAAAUACCAUGAAAAUCAUACGUGCAGACAUUACACAUGUCAUGGGCAACUUACAGCGCAUAAUGGAAGAACAGCACAGACAACAGCAAAGCUAUAUAAACAUUUUAGAAAGCAAUCAAAUGAUCAAUGAAUCCAUGUCCAGAAUUGUAGACAAUCAAAAUGCUGCAACACGUGAACUCAAUGCCACCCUCAGUAACCUCAAUGAAACACUCAAAUUUCUGCAGCAACAGCAACCAAGCAGCAGUUCUGGUACGACUACUCCAAAUGUAACGUCAGUGUCAUCACCCACAAGGCGCUCCACCAGAGCACGCCAACACGACAGUGGUAAAGGCAAAGGCCAGGACAAGCAACUACCCAAAUAAACAUAAAAAAAAAAACACACCCAUUUCUUUAAAGAGAAGAGAAAAAAACACUUACCAAGUGUAUGAUUAACAGAAUAUAUAUAACACUUAGCUCCUUGACAAUUUGUACAACAUCAUUAAUUAUAACUGGUACAAACAACAAAAGGAAUUUUGAACACACAUUUCUUCUUUACCAUCUUUGUAUUUUUUGUUAGCAGGAAACUUGUUUGAGCUGCACAUAGAUGUUAGCAUGCAGAAAGCAGACCACUUGAUUUUUUUCUAAUCAUUACUCUUUCUAGAUUCUAAUCAUUCUUUGAGCCUGCAGACAGACUAAUUGGCAGCCAGGCAGAUUGUCUUAAGCAGGCAGAAAGCAGACCACUUGAUUUUUUUCUAAUCAUUACUCUUUCUAGAUUCUAAUCAUUCUUUGAGCCAGCAGACAGACUAAUUGGCAGCCAGGCAGAUUCAUCCACGACCAAUACAAUUUACAAUGUGAAUUGUAACUGUUUUACAUUUCUUCUCUAGACGAAUUGACAAGAAAAACACAAUUGAGUUGGCUAAAAGUGUCCUAAUAUGUUGGGAGUAAUAUUUAGAUAAUUCAGUCCAAAAAUGACUGACAUUAUUGUUGUGCCAUGUUUGUGUGUGUUAAAAAUAAGUAAUCAGAUUUAAAAACAUGAUGCAGAAACAACAUUUGAAAUAUUUGAAAGUUGAACACAAAUGUGUGUAAUAAUGGAUAUAUGUUGUUAAAUGUGUAUUGCCUUACAAAUCUACAAUUUUUGGCCAGCAAACAUAAGGAAAUAAAUUAUUUUGCAUGAGAGAA